rnacentral:lncRNA from 1 species
UUCAGAGUGUUGGAUCAGAUCUGCGUGUAGCUGGUCUUGCUCAGAUGAAUCCUGAGGAUGGAGAUGAGAGAACCUUGUCACUGAAAUGGUGGUGUUUAUCCUGGAUUUGGUGUUCUCUCAACCAGAUAUGAGUUCAUGAUCCAUCCAUGAGAGGUACAAACUUACAUUGUAAAUUUCUGUAUCUUAUGAUUCUUAUUUGGUAUGCUAAAAGUUGUUCAUAGUCUAUCAGAGGCUACCAGAAAUUUUAUGUCAUAUAUAUUAUAUCUCAUGAGAAGACAAAUCAAGAUAUCAUCCAUUUAGUUUAAUAUUGGUUGUGAAUUAGGGAUAAACAGGGUAUGUGUACACUGAUACAGUGUCCUUGGUUCAUCUGAUGCAUACAGAGAAUAAUGCUCAACAUUCUGCUACUGAUCAAUACCUCAUGAGAAUGAAAACAUUAAAUUCAUCAUCAUGUGUUCUGCUUGUUACUGUCAGACUAAUCAAGCUUUAGCCAAGUGGAACAGUGUGUGUGCUUUUUCCUCUGCAAGAGGUUUUCAGUAGGCCUCCACAAUACCAAGCCAAAAAUUCCUCUGAGACCUACUUUUCUGGAGCAUUUUUUAUCUGAGAGAACUACAAUUUUACUUUCCUUUCUUUUUCCUGCUACAUGAUUUUUUUUUUGGAUAAAAUUGCACAAGAUCUUAUUGGAAAUAGAUAUAAAUGUACCACUGAGAAUGAGAAAUUUGACUUAUGUACUAAUCUAGUCGCAAAUAUAAGGAUUUGAUGAUUCAAUUGCUAUUAAUUUGGAUCUAAGCAUUUCAGAUUAAUGAUUUAGGCUUAGUGAAAUUAUUGGACUAAUCUUUCCAUGAAAUUGGAUGAUUUGGAUGAUUUUUUUUUCUUGGACAAUUUUAAUUUAUGUACAUCCAAAAUUCAAUUCAUAUUAGUUAUAGUUAUGGGUGUAUAUAUUUACAGAUGUUCUUUUCUGUGGUCACCCCAUCAGAAGUCAAAAGUACCCAAUCCUUAGGCAGUGAGGACAAAUUUUUAAGUCAAUAGGGUUUUCUGACUAUAAAUCUGUCAAAUUUAAGGCUAAUUGUUAAGAACUCAUUGACUAAAGUUGGAGAAGUUCAAAUUAGACAUUUGUUGCCUCAAUCCAUAAAAUUGCACUGCUAUAGUAUCUGUUGACACAAUUUCCAGUUGAGUUCUCAUGGAAAGCCAAUUGGGAAGAAGAAGAUACUCAUUCAAGGUCCCCUUUUUUCUUCUUUUGUCAGAAAACACUAUCACUGAAUCACACUGCAAACAUGGAUCACAGCAGAACUAAAAUAUAUGAUGAGAUGGAAUUCAAGCAGAAGAAAGUAGCAAGAGAAAUGGAAGGUCCAUUUCAACAUCAAACAAAGUUGCCUGCUCAUGUACUUUAACAAAUAUAAAUUAUCAUGGGUCUCCACUCUUCUACAUAUAACAUGCUGACAUAGACCACAUAAAUUACAAGAAUCUAAACUCAAAACCUUGCCAAGUUGUGGAUUUAUAGUAUAAAUUUACAUUAUGAUGGCUUUGGUGCGGAGAGACCUGAAUCCUCUUUUUAUCCAGAAUCCAAAUCGAUUUCCAGAAGCAGAGCAGUUUGUGUUUCUAUCGAAAUUAAAAGUUUCAAACGAACCUCGAGUCCUUUCUAGACAUAAAUUAGCAACCAAGCCAAAGCAGCAAAAAGGGCCAUCAUCAUGGUGCUUGUCAACCGUGUGGCGGCAUUCGGUAACCAUGGAUACGAAUCUGGGGGAGGCAUGACACAGUUGUCACCAUUGAAGUAUACGCGCCGUGGAAAGGCCCACCCCUUCUCGAAGGUAAAAGUUGAUGGGUCCUUCCGGAAUAGAAGUUCCGACUGCACAUUUCCAUAAGGUCCGGCUUCCAUGAGGAAGUCAUUAUAGUACUUGACACCCCAUAGCAUUGCAGUAUCAUCUGUCAGACCAAAGCCAGUAAGAUUUUAGUUAUAGAAAGAAGCAUUAAGCAACAUGUAUGCUAAACCAUAUAGAUUUCAGACCAACAGACACACCAAAAGCACCAUGAGUUCUUGUGAAAUUAGAUCAGUUACCACCAACGUGAUGAAAUCUCACAGGAUAAACAGAUUACCAGAUUACCGUAUUCCCCCGCCCACAUUUCCAUAGUGAGAGAAAAUGUCAAAGAAUGAACUUGAGGAAAAAUAGAAAUGAAUGAAAAGAAACUUACUUAUGCCUCCGUACGGCGUCAAUGACUUGUAAUUGAAACUAAAAAGUUGAGUGAGAUUGUCUAAGUUCGGAUGCUGGAUAACAAGGUUCCACUGUGUAUAAUUCAUCCGGUAGUUGAAAUUUGUUAUUGCAAUCUUCACACGCCAGUACUCCUUGUAGUUUAGUUUGACAUGCCAAUGGACCCUUACUGGGCACAUAUGUGAUGUGCACUGGACCAAUGGUGUGAAGCUGUUUUUGCCAGGACCGUUGAUGACAGAGGCUAAAUAAGGCGAAUCUCCUCUGGCAUAGUAAACAGUAACAUCAUCAAUAUAUCAGCUAAAAUUUUCAUAGUGAGAAUUAAAGAGGUUGGCAUUUGAACUCACUCCACGCAGCUUCCUGGUUGAGUUGCAUUAUUUUGACAACCACAUGUGCACGUCGGACAGUUAACAAUUGUGUCAUUGUAGAAGGAUGAAAGGGAUACACAGCAAGUAGGAGUCUUCUGAGCGAGAAAUUGGGAAUAUGUACAUGUAACAUUCCAUGUCACUGCGAUUAAGUAUCGAAGAAAAUGUUAGCCGACUAUAAGGACUGUCAUUUCUUGAGUUUCGAAAAAGCAGAAUUGACUAGCUAGGCGAAGUGGCUAUCCUACAUUACUUGAUUGGUAUUUCAUUGUGCAAAAGAACUAAAGAGCCAAAUCCACUACCUGGAAGCUUAUCCUAUUUAAAAUAUCAAACUAUUAGCUUUUCGCAAUUUUUCUUUGAUGACUUACUAAGAGCUUGAGUUGUUCUCCUUCCAUCUUGUGUAACAAAUUUAGUAGGCUUCACAAUCUUGGCUAUUCCACAUGUAUAUCCAGGUCCUGGUGCCCUCAGGGUAAAGUUCUUGGGCACACGGACAGUCUUGUUGGUGGUCCCCGCUGCACCAACACUGACCUGGAAUGAACUUGCAGCAUUGGCUGGAUCUUGCACCCAUGAAUUAAUCACCCCUCCUUUGCAACAAUUGGCGAUUUGCUGGUUAUAUGGUGUUCCAGGAAGUAGAUCAACAACUGUCGGAUCUUUCUUACAGCAAUGUGGAGUGUUCCCCUUGAAUCUUGAGCAAUCACCCUGCUCUGUGGUCUGGGCUCCUACCAUUGACCAGAUGACCUCCUUCUUUGCCCAGGUCCACCCAAGAAUCCAUCCGGGUGCUUGAAUGUGACGAUAUUGCUGGAAAUUGAAUAUCGUAACGACCGCCUGAAAAUUAUUCAUAUCAAUAUUUUGAUUGUAGAUGCAAAAUUCACUUGCUAUAUAAACUGACAGAAGUUUAUGCAAGGAUGAUCUCAAGAAGGCAAGAAUUUGAGUUGUCUCUUCAAUCAGUUACUAUGAGAAUUUAUACAUGGCGAAGCAAAAUGCAAAGGAUUGCCCAUGCGAGCAUCACAUGCUUUCAGCAGUGUCUCUCUUUUGUACUUACAACAUAACCAUCCGGUGUCCACUGCAUUAUGUCCCAUUUGAUUGUUAUAUUUCCAUUGGGGUCCAACGAAUCAUAAGCUUCUGUAAUCAAAACAAUUAAAGCAUGAAUCAGAAAAGAACGCGACAGAAAAACACAAUUUAGCUAAGAAGUUUCUUGGAUCUACUCAACAGAACACCGAAGAAAACAAAUCCCUGAUACAAAUCUGAACAUCCUUUAACAUCAAGGGAAUAGUCUUUGCUUUACUGGAAAAUAAAAAUUCCAAUCCCCCAUUCAAACCAUUCCUCCAAGAUUCCCAGAAGUAAUUCUUGAAUAAAUUGUGCAAUGAACACCCCAAAUUGGACCUCUUGAUUGGAUUUCUUCCCUAUGUAGUAACAUAUUGGUUCUUAAACAGCAUUGUUCUCAAGCUUUUUUCGGUGAUGAAAAAAAAAGCUUUGAUCAUUUUGAUUGUCUGCAUAAAUUAGAGAUUUUGACAUGUUUCUCUUUCUGCAGGUUUUCAAACCCUCAAAUACUGAACUAGCUGCUGCUACAACAGCAACUUCACAC